rnacentral:rRNA from 1 species
AUACAGAGGGUGCAAGCGUUAAUCGGAGUUACUGGGCGUAAAGGGCGCGUAGGUGGUUGUUUAAGUGAGAUGUGAAAGCCCUGGGCUUAACCUAGGAACUGCAUCUUAUACUGGGCAACUGGAGUACUGUAGAGGGUAGUGGAAUUUCCGGUGUAGCGGUGAAAUGCGUAGAGAUCGGAAGGAACACCAGUGGCGAAGGCGGCUACCUGGACAGAUACUGACACUGAGGCGCGAGAGCGUGGGGAGC